UACGAAGGGGGCGAGCGUUGUUCGGAUUUACUGGGCGUAAAGGGCGCGUAGGCGGCCUUCCUUGUCGCGUGUGAAAGCCCCGGGCUCAACCUGGGAAUUGCGCGCGAAACGGGGGGGCUUGAGUUCGGGAGAGGAGCGUGGAAUUCCCAGUGUAGAGGUGAAAUUCGUAGAUAUUGGGAAGAACACCGGUGGCGAAGGCGGCGCUCUGGACCGAGACUGACGCUGAGGCGCGAAAGCGUGGGGAGCAAACAGG
rnacentral:rRNA from 1 species